rnacentral:rRNA from 1 species
GAUGAACGCUGGCGGCGUGCUUAACACAUGCAAGUCGAACGGUGAAGGCGGAGCUUGCUCUGCUGGAUCAGUGGCGAACGGGUGAGUAACACGUGAGCAAUCUGCCCCUGACUCUGGGAUAAGCGCUGGAAACGGCGUCUAAUACUGGAUACGAGCUGCGAAGGCAUCUUCAGCAGCUGGAAAGAAUUUCGGUCAGGGCUGAGCUCGCGGCCUAUCAGCUUGUUGGUGAGGUAAUGGCUCACCAAGGCGUCGACGGGUAGCCGGCCUGAGAGGGUGACCGGCCACACUGGGACUGAGACACGGCCCAGACUCCUACGGGAGGCAGCAGUGGGGAAUAUUGCACAAUGGGCGAAAGCCUGAUGCAGCAACGCCGCGUGAGGGACGACGGCCCUCGGGUUGUAAACCUCUUUUAGCAGGGAAGAAGCGAAAGUGACGGUACCUGCAGAAAAAGCGCCGGCUAACUACGUG